AGGCCGUGCUCACCUCCGACAGAACUCGUUGGGCCCAACAACCGGCCCAAAAUGCUUAACCCCAGUUAUUAUUACUAGUGUCUAAGUCUCUUAUAAACUCCAUUCCCAUCCGAUGUGGGACUAUUUUGGGACUAUUGGGGUGUCACAGACUCCCCCCAUUAAGGCCCUGACGUUCUCGUCAGUCCAAUCACACACACAGCCCAAGAUCACCACCAGGCGAUGUGAGACUCGUCUCGCUAGCCCGUCAUCCAUACCCUGGCUCAGCCGAGACUCGCCACACAUGUCCAGCUGGUGAACCGGCUCUGAUACCAAAUGUAACGACCCAGCCCACUAGCAACAAUAACUCGUUGGGCCCAAACCACCAGCCCAAAAUACUUAAGCCUAGUUAUUAUUACUAGUGUCUAAAUCUCUUAUAAACCCCAUUCCCAUCCGAUGUGGGACUAUUGUGGGACUAUUGGAGAGUUAUUGUUGGUAGUGGGCUGGGUCGUUACAAUAUUAUUAUACGCUAAAAUACAAAAAUUUUGUUAUAAAUAUUUAUUUUUUUAUUUCUCUUUCUCGAUUUUCAAAAUUCUAUAUUUUUCUCUCUUAAAAUGUUAGAAAUAUUUCCAGGAAUACGAUGUUAUUGGAGAAGGCAAAAUGACCAAAUUAUUAUUAUUUCUUCGAUAAAAAAAAAAUAAUUUUUAAAUAUAUUUUUAUCGUUCUGAAUACUAUUUUCGGUAUAAAUUAUAAAAAGUGGAUGGAAUAGUAAUGAAAUCUUGACAGAAGGGGUCUAAAUGCAAUAACUUAAAAUGUUGAGAGAAUAAAAUAUAAAUUUUUAAAAGUUAGAAAAAAAAAUUAAAAAAAUUGUAUAUUUAUAAAAAAAAACUUUUGUAAUUUAGUCUAUAUUAUAUUUAGAUAUGGAG
rnacentral:lncRNA from 1 species